rnacentral:rRNA from 1 species
UACGUAGGUGGCAAGCGUUGUCCGGAUUUACUGGGCGUAAAGAGCGCGCAGGCGGUCGACCAAGUCGCGUGUGAAAGCCCCCGGCUCAACUGGGGAGGGUCACGCGAUACUGAUCGACUCGAAGGCAGGGGAGGGUAGUGGAAUUCCCGGUGUAGUGGUGAAAUGCGUAGAUAUCGGGAGGAACACCAGUGGCGAAGGCGACUACCUGGCCUGUUCUUGACGCUGAGGCGCGAAAGCUAGGGGAGCAAACGGG